rnacentral:rRNA from 1 species
AGUGAACGCUGGCGGCGUGCCUAAUACAUGCAAGUCGAACGAAGUGGCUCACGGGUGGGUAAUAUAUAGUUAAUCUGCCCUCCACAGAGGAACAACAGUUGGAAACGGCUGCUAAUACUUCAUAUUGUAGUCUGAGACUAGAUCGUAUCAGUUGGUUGGUAAGGUAAUGGCUUACCAAGGCUAUGACGCGUAACUGGUCUGAGAGGAUGAUCAGUCACAUUGGAACUGAGACACGGUCCAAACUCCUACGGGAGGCAGCAGUAAGGAAUAUUGCGCAAUGGGGGAAACCCUGACGCAGCAACGCCGCGUGGAGGAUGACACUUUUCGGAGCGUAAACUCCUUUUAUCAGGAAAGCGGUACCUGAUGAAUAAGCACCGGCUAACGCCGUACCAGCCGCCGCGGUAAUUC